rnacentral:ribozyme from 1 species
GGCUGCAAGUCUGAGACCACUUCAGAAGCGCUCAUAGUGCAGCCCUGUCAGAUUCCAGUGAAUCUGCAAACUCUGCU